CUUGCUCCAUUUAGAGGAAGUAAAAGUCGUAACAAGGUCUCCGUUGGUGAACCAGCGGAGGGAUCAUUACCGAGUUUACAACUCCCAAACCCAAUGUGAACGUUACCAAACUGUUGCCUCGGCGGGAUCUCUGCCCCGGGUGCGUCGCAGCCCCGGACCAAGGCGCCCGCCGGAGGACCAACCAAAACUCUUAUUGUAUACCCCCUCGCGGGUUUUUUACUAUCUGAGCCAUCUCGGCGCCCCUCGUGGGCGUUUCGAAAAUGAAUCAAAACUUUCAACAACGGAUCUCUUGGUUCUGGCAUCGAUGAAGAACGCAGCGAAAUGCGAUAAGUAAUGUGAAUUGCAGAAUUCAGUGAAUCAUCGAAUCUUUGAACGCACAUUGCGCCCGCCAGUAUUCUGGCGGGCAUGCCUGUCCGAGCGUCAUUUCAACCCUCGAACCCCUCCGGGGGGUCGGCGUUGGGGAUCGGCCCUUUACGGGGCCGGCCCCGAAAUACAGUGGCGGUCUCGCCGCAGCCUCUCCUGCGCAGUAGUUUGCACACUCGCAUCGGGAGCGCGGCGCGUCCACAGCCGUUAAACACCCCAAACUUCUGAAAUGUUGACCUCGGAUCAGGUAGGAAUACCCGCUGAACUUAAGCAUAUCAAUAAGCGGAGGA
rnacentral:rRNA from 1 species